rnacentral:rRNA from 1 species
AGUAACAACCUGGAAACAAGAUAGCUAAUACCGGAUAACAACAGAUGAUGCCUAUCAACUGUUUAAAAGAUGGUUCUGCUAUCACUCUUGGAUGGACCUGCGGUGCAUUAGCUAGUUGGUAGGGUAACGGCCUACCAAGGCGAUGAUGCAUAGCCGAGUUGAGAGACUGAUCGGCCACAUUGGGACUGAGACACGGCCCAAACUCCUACUGGAGGCAGCAGAC